rnacentral:lncRNA from 1 species
CUUUAGAUUGCAUGUACUGACUUCAAAUUCCAAUAACUCCUUUAUCCUAACUUAGAAUCCAGUAAGCAGUGUAUGAAAAGUAUAGCCGCAAAAGUGCUCUCUCCAGUCGCAGGUUCCGAUCCUCAAUUGCCGUCCGUAUGCGUGCGUUAUGCUCAAAAGAGUGACAAUAGGUCCAAAACUAAUCCCUAAACUUUGAGCGCCUAUUACUUCUUCAAAAAAACCCCAAAUGACACAAAACUUGCACCAAAACCUUAACCAAAAACCUAAAACUUCUGACCCUAGCCUUCAAUGUUCGAAUGGCCUCCGGAAACUAACCCUAAUCCCUAAUAUGGCCUUGGGCAGCCUCCUCAAAGCCCAUUGGUCAUGAUUUUUGACCAAUAGGAAUGGAGAUUUUUAUUUUUCAUCUCCAUUCAUCUAUAUUGGUGCCCUAAUUCCUUCCUUUGCUACCAAAAUCCUUCUUCAAUCCUUUUUCAUACAAGAUUUACAUAAUGUAUGCUCUAAACACCAAAUAAUAGAACCAAAAUAAGUUUUCAAAUGUCACCAAUGUCCAAUAAAGGUGACUCUAAAUAUUUAGAAGUUACUAUCAACCAAAACCAAUCUUAAAAGCCACUAUCAAAAAGAAAUUAAAGUUAUACAAAUUCUAUAGUAAUCUUUUUAAACACCCUCUUCUCAAAGUAAUAAUCAAAUUAUAUUCUACAACCAACUAAAAUCUAUUAACAUGGCUCUCAUCAUGUUACUUAAUAAAUUAUAUAUUAAAUACAUAAUUACAUUAUUUUCAUAUAGUAGCCGAAUCACAACACGACAUCCACCCCUUCUAAACUUGUGCAUCCUCCGAUAUGCACCAAAAGAACUAAAGUUGUGGUUGGCUUCAUAUAACCUCUUGAGCAAUGUCUUCUUCAAAAUCCAAUUCUUCUUCUUCAUAACUAGAAAGAUCAAAUUCUUCUUCAACAUCUUCGAGGAUUAGUUCUUGAUUCCAUUGUUUGAAAAUUUUUAUACGUUUUCAUGCAAUUUGAAUUUUGAGUCUUGUUCCAUCUAAUUCCCUUAAUGCAUAUGUAGAAUUAUCCAAAACAUGUACAACCACAUAAGGUCCAAACCAACGCUUAGAGAACUUUUUAAGAGCAUUGUGUUGAUUAUCCAAGCUGUUGUCAUAUACCAGAACCCAAUCACCUUCUUGAAUAUCUUUUGGCCUCAACCUGUGUCACUUAUCAUAUCUAUUUUUAUUCUUCAAGCGUGACUCUCUUAGCCUUAUAAUUACUUUUUCCACAUCUUCAGGUCUUCUUUCUAGUUGACGAAUUCGAAGUACAAGAAGUUCUUCUUUAGAUAUAUUGUCUUGCCAAGGCAAGAUACUCCAAGUAGGUACUUGCUCUUCAAUGGGCAUAAUGGGCUUCUGUCCUUGUAUUAACUCUACUGGCAUAUAUCCUGUCACUGAACUGUGAGUAGUACGAUCAGCCCAAAGAGCAAAUGGUAAUAAUCUUGGCCAUUCUCUUGCUCUUUCUUUGCAAGCUCUAACAAUGGCCUUUACAAUAGGAAGAUGACCUCUCUCACUCUUAGCAUUACCUUUUGGAUUAUGAAAUGUAGUAAGUGCUAGCUUGACUCCACAUCUCUCAAAGAAUUGUCUAGCCUCAUGUGCAUCCAAUUCCCCAUGAUCAGCAGUAAUUUUUCCAAUACAUCCAUAUCUACAAAUCACGUCUUCCAAUAAAAAUCUACAAACUCCUUCAGUGGAUUUUGUUUGUAGAGCUCUUCUUUCUACUUGGUUAGAUAAAUCUUUUCAUGCCAGAGCCAACUAUCGCAUUUGCCAUAUCUCCAUAGGCAUAGUAACUAGGUCCACAAUCCAUUUCUAAUGUAUUGCAAGUAGAUAUGUAGGAUGCAAUCCAUCUCUAUGUCAAAUCUCCGAGUACAUCUGACAGGUUUGGCAUGACUCUACAAACUUCACCACAUCUCUAUAUAUAUUAUGCCACCAAUAUUUUUCUUUGAGCUUAUUAAAGGUGGCAUAAAUACCUCUAUGUCCACCCCACAAACUAUCAUGAAAUUCAUAGAUUAGUUGUUCUUGCAUCUCUUUCUUGCAAACUACUCUUUGUAGCAUUCCACUAUCCCGUUUGCAUCGCUUUCAUAGGUAACCACCUUGUAGGAGGUAGUUAUAAGCCUUCCGUCUAAUCUGUUUGAAAUGAAUAUCACUCCAUCCUGAUUGUCUUGAUAAUGUGCUUAAAUAACAUCCAAUAUCAAUCCAUUCUUCUUCAUACAAUUCUUCUGUAAAUGGUCUUGGAUAUUCAUCUUCUCUUUGUUGUGCCCUAGAAUAAAAGGUAGUACCUAUAUCUUCAGUAUCUUCAAUCAAAUCUUCUUCUUGUUCAUAUCUGGCUCGGGAUAGCAUAUCUGCUACAAGAUUAUCCUUGCCUGCUAUAUGCCUAAAUUCACGAUUCAAAGAUUUAAUAUAUGCAAUCUAUCUUAGCAUAGCAAUAUCAGGGCUGUUACAGUUGGUAAUCAUUCCUAAUAGUGACAAACAAUCUGUUUCCACUAUCACUGGUGCUCUAAUUAAAUAAUCUCUUUCACUUUUCAUAGCUGUAACUAUUUUCCAUAGUUCCCGUUUUACCUGUGGAUAGUUUCUUUGUCGUUCACUUAAUACUUUAGCUCCAAAUCUAAUAGCAAACGUGUUCCCUUCUUCAUUAUUUUGUCCUAAAGUCCAACCAACAGCUAUUGGACUAGUAUCAACUGUAAGUAUCACCGAUUUGCCAUCCUCAUAACUUAUCCUUCGCAAUACAGGUGGAGAAGAUAGUAAUUGCUUUAGCUUUUGAAUUGUUUCUAUAUGUUUUUUUUUUCCAUUUAAAUCUCUUCCCUUUUCGUAGCAAAAUAUAAAGAGGAUCAGCUACAUGUGCAUAAUGAGGAAUCCAUACACAAUAAAAUAUGCAAGCUCCUAAAAUCCUCCAUACCUCUGUUUGUGAGCUAUAAAUAUCCUUCAUUCGUUGUAUGGCAUCCACCUUAUUAGGAUCAGGUUUGCAACCAAACCAUCCAUAUAAAUGCCUUACAAUAAUAACUUCUCGAAUUCCAAAGGUAGAUUUAGCUCCUGAUAGUGUCAAGUGAACCUCCUCAAGUCGAGAUAAAAUUUUGUCACAGUCUAAAAUAUGAUUAGAUACAAAUUUAUGACACCCUUUCUGAUCCAUUGUUUCAUUUUUUUCUUCUUCCACACACCCUUUUAUUGAAAUAUCAUCUAAGAAGGGCAUAGUCUUUUCUGAAAUGAAAUCACAAAGAACCUUAUUCAUCCCAUUCAUCAUGUGAGCUACUGAGUUUGUUGCUCUUUGUGGCAAUAUACACAUCUUAACCAACUCUAAAGGUGUCCUCAUGGUAGUAAUAUCUUUGCUUCCUUCAGCUAGUUGAAAUUGAUCAUAUCCAGAACAAAGAUCUCCGACAGAGUAAAUAGCUCUACCAGCAAAUGCCUCAGCAAAUUCUCCAACAAUUGGUCCAACUCCAGUAUUUCUAAUAGUUACUUGAUUUACUGAUUGCAUAUCUUGAAUAAACCAUAGUGUUCCAUUUUUCUUUGGUACUGUAAACCAACGGCUGGAAUAUGGUGCAAAUGAUGGCUCGAGGAUCUUCAUUUGUAUCUUUUCUUUUAAAAGAUUCAUAAGUUUAGAUAGAUGUGCUUUAGGCACUGAAAUUGGUCUUAAAUCCUAAGAAAUAUGUGGGACUAUAAAUAUAAUCAUUAGUGCCACAACACUUAGAUCAACACAUCCAAUUUCUGAAGGUUCAAAAGCAAAGGCCUUUCCAUGCAUACUUAACAUUUUUCUAAAUUCCAUUUCUUCAAUAGGCAAUAAGAAAUUUGCAGAUCCUAUUUUUAACUCAUUGAGUGUGUUUUUAGUAAACUUAUGGCCAAGUUAUUUAGGAUCCCGUAAGACCUUCUCCUUCAAAGCUUGUUGAACUUGAUGAUUAGAAUCACUAGGUAAUGGUAUAGCUACUGGUUUUAUUUUUCUCUCCACAGUCUUGUACUUAGUUUCAACUUCGACUUCAUAAUCUUAAAAUGCUUGUAUAGCGGAGUAGAGCUCUCUUGAAUGUACUUGCAUCACUUGAUCUUCAUUUCCUUGUUCAACCUCUAAAAAUUCUUCUAUAAAAUUUUCUAAACUAAUCUUUAUAUAUACACCUAUUAUCUUAUCAUCUCUAUCAAGCACACCUACUCUUUUUAGGUCUUUUUUAGAUUUUUGUACAACUUUUUUCUCCCACUUUGGUAGAUCAUUAAGUUGUGUAUAGAUAGCAAAUCCAUUCUUAAAUAAUUCUACAACACCUGUACAAAAAGUACUUUCUUUUUCAUGCAAGAGUACCUUCUUUGAUAUACCACUACAUUCUCGCUCUAUAGUGGUACCUUGCAAAAAUCCGUAAACUCUUCACUAAUCCUUGGUAAUAAUUCACUUCGUAAAUAAUCUCGAUUGCACUCAUGGUUUGCAGGUACUGUUAGAAAUUGCACUGCCUUUUUUCCAUCUUGACUUCUAAUACAGGCACAUGCUGAUCCAUCAUCCAAAACUUUGGUCUCCAUCCUCACAGCUAUAAUAUAUAGUUGACCAAGAAUCACCGGGUAUGAAGUAGAGUCUUGAACAAAAAAAUUUUGUUCUGUGGUCACAUCUCCAACUUUUAUCUUCACAUUAGUGCAAGCACCAUAAAGAUCUCAUCAUGUAUUAUUUGCUGCCUGAAUCACCCAUCUAUGGUUAAUAUCAAUGGGCCACCUUCCACGUUUAUAGACCUCUUUUGACAUAAUAUUAAUUUCAGAUCCAUGGUCAAUGAGAGCAAUUACUGGUUCUUCCAAGUCUUCCAUUUUUACUAAAGUCUCUGUGGUGGCUCUUGCCUAAUGUCCCUUGGUAUAGUGUCCAGGGCCCUUGUCAUCAUCCUUGUAUUCAUCCAAAUCAAAUUAUCCCUUUUUAUUGAUACAACAUUCUGCCAAUUCAUGCUCCUCUUCUUCAGUCAAGAUUGUAUCCAAAGCAUUAGAUACAGCAGAUUCUCUUGUCAACUGCCUCUUUUGCUUAAUAUUGUCUAUGAUGACUUCAUGAAACUCUCUCUUUGCAAUGCCUAAAAUUUCAGAUUGAAGCUUAUAAGUAACAUGCUUAUUCUUCCCUUUGUCUUUAUCAACCUCUAUCCUUUCUUCUCAUUUUUUUUUUGGCAGUGAAGCAUUUCCAGGAUGCAAUAUUGAUGGCCCAGCCUUAGAUGGUCUAUUAACAUGUGGUAUAGGUAUUUCUUUAUUUUGUGCUGUUUUUGCAUGCCUUUGAGAUCUCCUCUUGUUUGUUGGCUCUUCAGGAUUUUCUUCUAUUUCAUUUCUUCCCCUUUUCACCUCUAUUAGAGCUUCAUGUUGAAACUUUGCCAAAUAAGCAUGUACAAACAUAGUAUCUACAAGAUCAUCUCAUCCUGUAGCAUUUCUAAUUAUUGUGGCUAUAUUAAGUAAUUCCUUCCUUGUUAUUUUUCCUUUAUUCAUGCUGAUAAUAGCAUGAUUCCAUAGAUCCCCUAUAUUUAUAUGCUUAUGAAAAACAUCCUCCUUCUCCCUUACAGCCUCAAUGCCAUAAGUAAUAGAUUUUCUUGAUGCCAUAGCCUGUUGAGAUAAAUGUUCUUCCAAAAGUUUUUUCAUCCCUCCUUUUCCAAAAUUGGUUUUGAGAAAUUUACCUGUAUCUCGCAAUGCAAUUUUUCCAUCUUUCCAUAUAAUUACUCCCUGUCGCAGAAUAUCAAUAAAAUUUCCACACUCCCUUCGAGGAUGUUCCAUAUUAUCGCACCAAAUACAUCGUUUUAUAUAUCCUGGCUUUGAUAAAGAUUUGCUCUCAGGUAAUCUUUCUUUCUCCUCUAGCUUUGCUAGUUUGAUUUGUAAGUCUUUUAUUCCUUUUACCAACUCAUCAAUUACAUCUUUCUGUGGUACAACUGUAGACAUAGGAAUUGGAAUAGUUCUUAUUGAUAUAGCAGGUUUUAGCUGUUGCCUACGAGAUGUUGUAGUUGGUGGAGGUCUAAUCUCUUGCCUUACUACCACCUUAUCCCUCCGAUACUCUCUUUUAGCAAGUAUGCCCACAGCUUCAGAGACUUCCAAUCAGUAGUAAAUCCAUUGUCCUCUGUAUUAUCCUCCAAUAAUAAUUCCAACUCUCUUUGUAAAUCAUUGCCAGCUGAUUGAAGAAAUAACUCCACCUUAUCAUUUUCAAGUAUAAGCUUUUCCACUCGAGAUAAUUGAAGAAACUGUCUUUCAAACUCUCGAAAUAACUCUGUUGCAACCAACUCCUUGUUGGAUUUAUUGACCCAUUCCAUAAACGAUUUUCUUGUCAUCUUUUUUGCAUCUUCCAAAGAAUACUCUUCUUUUAGUUGAAGGGUAAAAUCCUCCCAUUUCUCUCCAUGAGUUUUAAUAAUCCCCUUUAUAUGCUCACGAAGCUCUGGUACAAUUGCAAGCUCAAAUGUUAGGAUCAUAUCUUUUUCCCGGCACUUUAUUGAGUUCCAUCUCCUGAGAAUAAUACUUAAGAUACUUGGAAAUAUUUCUUCCAUCAAAUUGAUCCAAGAAACCAACAACAGAUUGUAAGGCUUUAGUAGCCAUUGCCUCUUUGCGUUCCACAGCUUGCUGUUGUUGCAUAAAAAGUGUAAAUGCUUGAAACAUUUGAGUUGUAUCAAGAUCAAGUUGCAAUGGAGAUUCCCCAAUGCAAUUCCUACUACCACUUCCUUGCCCCCCUUCCAUAAUAAAAGUCAAAAUAUUUCUUCAAAACUCUCUACCCCAGAAAUUUUCACGUCGGGUUCACCAAGUCUGCCGUAUGGCAUAAUUUGCUAUCUGGGAAUACACUAGGUAUCUAGCUAUAGAGAGUGUACCUUAAACCUUUAUAUGAUUCUUUUCUUAGCUUCCAAAAACUCCUUUAUUUUUGCAUAAAACUCCAAAUAUAACAAAAUCCCUUCAAAACAUAUUUUUCCCGCGAAGGGUUUUCUCACCCCGAACUUUAAAAAAUCAUAAUUAUUGAUCUAACCGUUCAGUUUGAUUCAGAUUUACAAAAUAGGUAGAAUUUCCCCUUAAAUUGUAUCACAAAAAAAAUCAACCGCAAAUUCACUCCCGAUCUUCUGACAUCUAAGAAACCCUAGCAGACACUCCAAACCCUAAUUUACAAGCACCCGAAAAACUAUUUUCCUUAUAUCUCAAAAACCCGAACUCCAAAUGUCAUAAAACUUAUGCAAAAUUUUUACUAACAUGACAUUACACAUCUCUUGAAAUUUUGAGCCAAAACCUUGCAAAAUUGCUCAAGAUAUAGCUCAAGAGACAAACACUAGUAAAUCGGUUUACUUACUACCUUUAGAUUGCAUGUACUGACUUCAAAUUCCAAUAACUCCUUUAUCCUAACUUAGAAUCCAGUAAGCAGUGUAUGAAAAGUAUAGCCGCAAAAGUGCUCUCUCCAGUCGCGGUUGCCGAUCCUCAAUUGCCAUCCGUAUGCGUGCGUUAUGCCCAAAAGAGUGACAAUAGGUCCAAAACUAACCCCUAAACUUUGAGCGCCUAUUACUUCUUCAAAAAAACCCCAAAUGAUACAAAACUUACACCAAAAUCUUAACCAAAAACCUAAACCUUCUGACCCUAGCCUUCAAUGUUCGAAUGGCCUCCGGAAACUAACCCUAAUCCCUAAUAUGGCCUCGGGCAGCCUCCUCAAAGCCCAUUGGUCAUGAUUUUUGACCAAUAGGAAUGGAGAUUUUUAUUUUUCAUCUCCAUUCAUCUAUAUUGGUGCCCUAAUUCCUUCCUUUGCUACCAAAAUCCUUCUUCAAUCCUUUUUCAUACAAGAUUUACAUAAUGUAUGCUCUAAACACCAAAUAAAAGAACCAAAAUAAGUUUUCAAAUGUCACCAAUGUCCAAUAAAGGUGACUCUAAAUAUUUAGAAGUUACUAUCAACCAAAACCAAUCUUAAAAGCCACUAUCAAAAAGAAAUUAAAGUUAUACAAAUUCU